AAACAGGCUAAUUCCAAAUUCGUGAGCCGAAACUCACUUGAAAGAACUCCAGAAAUCAGCUCCGCAAAAGGGAUUUCUUCCGAUUCCUCCUCCGAUUUCUAGGGCUCGAUUCUCGCCGGAAUUCCGAGCUCCUCUUCCCACGCAUCGCCCCCCCCAAAUUCCGAGAUCAAUCUCUACCUCCCUCUCGCCGCGCCGCCGGAACCGGCGCGAUUUCUCGGCGGAUUCCGGCCGAUUCCCGAGGCGGCGGCGGCGGCGGCGCCGGAGGAAGCGAACGGGCAAGUCGGCGAAAUUCCCCGGAUGUUAUGCUCUGGCAGGACAAGUUGGUAGCUGAUUAUAGGAAUUGAAAGUUCAAGAAUUAUCAUUAUGUAUGGUCAGGGGAGCUAUGGUCAUCAGGCUGGUCAAGGUGCUAACGGGCAACAUCAUCUGCCCGCUGCCUUGCCUCCUCCGACUUCUUCCCAACCUCCGGCUGCAUCGAAUUCGGUAAUGCAUCGGCCUCCUGCUGCUGUCCCGUCUCAGAUCAAUCAGGUCUUACCGAUGUACGAUCAUGUUCCUCGAGGACCACCUUUUCAGGGUCCUCCUAGUGGGAUGACGAACACUACUAACCCGAUUCAUGCAUCCCUUCCCCAGCCUCCUCCGGUACUUGGAAGAAUGCCGGUGACUGGUCCGUAUCUCAAUUCUCAGCAUAACCCACCAUUACCUCCUCUCGUUCAAAGGCAUGCUACAUACUGGCACCCUAUCACUUCACAGCCUCAGCAGCCUAGUUCUGUACAAGGUCCUCCAAUCCCCAAUCCAAAUUCAGGCUUCGUUGCUUCGGCUCCUGCAGAAACUCACACAGCUCCCCCACCCCCACCGCCUCCCCCUCCCCAACCUCCACUUCCAUCUGCUUCUUCAUCACCUGUUCCACCUUCUCCACCAUUCUGUAGACCUCUGCUGCCCGCAUCUUCUAUGGCCAAUAUUUCUUCUUCCAAAUUGGCACUUGAUGUUUCUGGACAGAGAAACGACAAAGUUGUCACCUCUGAAGUAAGGGGUGUGGAGUCAUUAGGUAAACGGUACGGAUCCUUUUCUGCAUUGGAUAGAAGUACGGCUUUGGAGAUAGACAUCCAUCCAGCUCCACCAAAACCAGCUGACGAGAAAAUCAUGAAAAGGAUCGAAACUUUAUGCCAGUUUAUUGCUAAGAAUGGCCCUGGUUUUGAAGAUAUGGCUCGAAUCAGGGAGUCUGCAAAUCCUGAGUUCAAAUUUCUUUUUGGUGGUGAGCCUGGAAGUGAUGCCGCGGUUGCACAUGAAUAUUAUCAAUGGGCAAAGAAAAAAUACACUUUUGGAGAUAAGUUGUGCGAAGAUGCCUCAAACUUAAGGCCUUCAGAGGCUGAUAUUUCCGUGCAAUCCAAACCAUUCAUCAUGACUUCUGUAGCGCAUCCGAAUUCUGAUUCUGACAUGGAGAUGGAAGAUGAUAUUACCCAGGUUGACAUGGAUCAGGAGAUGAAAAGACCGGUUGAAUAUUAUCGUGAGGACUCUGAUUUGGUUCGUGAUGAUCCUGACGGGAAAGAGCUGGCAAUGCCACAAAUUGUUCAGUGUGCAUCAGCUCAGGAUAUUUUGUGCGAUAAAGUUCCUUCUUCAGAGGUUCUAGGUCGUGGCAAUUAUGGACAUCAAGGAUCUGGUAUUUGUCCUAAUCACGAGCGGUUGCUACCUGAAAGUCCAUCAAAUAGGAUCUGCUCAGACUCUAAUCUGCUGGAACCUGCUGGAGCUGGCAUUGCCAAAAAAUUGACCGCGGUCCCAGCUGAUGUUUCAAGCCCUCCAAUUUCUGCAUUAGCUGUCAAAAGUGGUAGGCCAUUCAGAUUAGUGCAAGACUAUGCUUCCGAUGACAGCUCGGAGAACUCUGCUGUGCCGCAUUCCAAAGAAGAGCAUACAAUGGUUGAACUGUCAGUUGCACCUGGUUAUUUGACCAAGUCUGAUUAUACUGAAUGUAGAUCUGAGUCAGAUUUACGAGCUGCAAACCUCGGCAAGAUUGAACAGGUCAUUGGACCACUAUCAGAAUCUGGGAAAUCAUUUGUGGCUCCAACUCGUGUUUCCCAUGUGGAGACUAGGAUCAUGGAAACUGUUGCAACCUCAUCUGAAAUUGGGCUGAGUGAUAAGCCUUCUGAUAUGAACUACAAUGACCAAGGAACAAUUCACAAUGCUGCAUCUUCAGAAGCUUUCGCUAGAAAUAACAGCUCAAGAAGUCUAAGCACUGGGUCACAUGAGAAUCGUAAGUCUGAGAAGGAAACCGGAGGAGAGAAACUAAGGUCCAAUUCAACUGCAGUACAAGUGGAUGAAUUUGGGAGGCUGGUGAAAAAAGGAGCUAGUGACAGUGAUUCCAACGAUUCAUUCUAUGCUGGGAGGCGUCAUAAGAAAAGAGAGAGAAGUCGGAGCAGGAGCCAGUCUCCUGUUGGUAGAAGGAGUAGAAGGAGGAGGAGUUUGCAGAGGACCAGAGACAGACGAAACCGAUCUCGCAGCUGGUCUCCCAGAGGGCGAAGAAGCAGGAGCAGGUCUCCUGUUUUGAGGCAUGUGAAAGAAUUUGGCAAUGAUGGUAUGAGACGGAAUAAAAGCCGGAAGCCCGAGUGUUUUGACUUCCUUCGAGGUAGGUGCUACCGUGGUGCUUCUUGCCGCUAUUGGCACAAUGAAGCAGAGAUGGAGCGAUCAAAACGCCAAAGGAGGAGAGCACAGACUCCUGAAAUGCCUUUACGCUCCAAAAAACCUGAUUCAGUUGAAGAAAUGGAGAAUCUGUCUGCCAGAGUUCCAUAUAGCGGGGAUGGUGAAGUUAAGAACAAACCUUGGCAAAUUCACAAGAACGUGCCCGAUGGAAUCUCUGAUGCUGUUAAACAUGAGAAAGGAGAUGAUUCUCUGGGACAUGCCUCGCGAGCUUAUGUUUCUGGUAGGGAUGGUUUAGCUGGUGAAGAUGAACCCAAGAACGAUAAGGAGGUUGACAUGCAUCUGUCAUAUAGACAAUUAGUUCCAGAAGAUGAUUCUUCUGCUAGAAUACCAUGUCCUAAGAAAUUUGAGGAAGGAAUUGGUACUCACCAGCCAAUCUCGGUUGAUAGGUUUAUAGACAAACCUCUGGCGGGUGCUGAAUCGCUGAAGUCUUUCACUGAUAAUGCUUUCAAAUCUGCUAGAAGGAAUCUAUCAGCGUUGUCUUCUCAGUCCAGUCCUUCCAGGGAUGGGCCUCAAAAUGCUAAUAACCUGCCUCAGCUUGAUAAUUCUUCUCAGCCAUUGCCUGACAAAAAAACUGUGAUGAUCUCUGCAAGUGAAUCUCUUCCAGAUAUUCCACACCAUCCUCCUCAACUGCCUCAACAUCUUUCCCCAUACAUGCAAGGUGCAGUCACUGGAAAUUUGCAGCAGGUGUCUGGUGAUCAUGUUGUGCAACAGUCUCCUUACGCAUCUCAAGGUCUUCCUUCAUCAGGCAAUCAACAGCAUCUUGUUUCUGCAGCACAGAAUCCCAACUGGAGCUCCGUGCUGCCGCCUCAGCCAUUUCCACAUGUACAAUAUGAUUCGGCAGUGAAGGGAGGAGCGGUCGCCCCUGCCCUUUAUACGGAAAUUCAGCAGAGUCAUGUGUCACAUACUAACUUCAGUUCUCAGAUGUUGAAACCUUACCCAACUGGGAGCUACUCUGCAGAACCGGUUCCUGGUCAAUCUCUUAAGCCGAGAGAAGAUUAUAGAUCAAGUACCUACCCUGCUGGCGAUAGACCCGGUCCGCAGGUUGCAGGUCCUGGUUCCGCAGGGCUAGCCCAUCUUAAUGAACCGCAACGUUACCCAAGUGGCAGCCUGCCACCACCUGAAGUCCUGAAGUUCUCUUCGCAAGUUCAUCCUUAUAUGCAGCAGCAAAACCCAUCCCCUGCUUUGCAACACGGUGGAUCUGCCUUUGCAUCUCCAGGAGGGCCGAGCUCAUCUACAUUUUUGCCUGAUGUUUUGGGCAGGAAGCAGACUUCUGCUCUAGAUUAUGGAGGACUGAGAAGUUCUUCUCACAACCCUUAUGCAUCUACUUUUGAGCAGCCACUGAUCUCCAAAUUUGGUUCUGGUGCUUUUGGGCAAGACUACCACAGUAGAUAUAACACAGCUUUCCCUUUCAGUCAUGCAUCGGUUGAUGGAAUAGGCAUCGGCAGUGUUGGAUCAAGACAAACAACUUCCUCACCAAAAUCUACCACGUUGAUGGACCGGGCUUUACCACGUGUGGGAGGUGAUCAAUAUGAUCCACUUUUUGACAGUAUUGAACCCUCUUCAAGUUCAGUCAAGAAAGUUGAUCGUGCACAUAAAGGGGAAUCAGUUGAUGAUAGCGAUGUCAUCCUGAGGACCAGCGAUUCGAAUACGCCAUUAGAUGUGGAAGAGAACAAUAAAAGGAAAGAGAUUGGAGCCUUUACUUUAUCCACAUCUGUAGAUGAUGAUGGGUUUGGUGAGACUGCAGAAGUGGAAGUUGGUGCAGUUGAGAAUGCGAGCAUCAGUAAUCCUAUUGAUGCAGCAGAUGCCACUGAGGUUGAGAUGGAGAUUGAUCAGAUUAAAACCCCUGGGAAGAGCAAGAAGCGCAAGGAUUCUAGGUCAAUGAAGCUUUUCAAAAUUUCCCUUGCAGAAUUUGUGAAGGAAGUCCUACGGCCAUCGUGGCGGCAAGGAAAUAUGAGCAAAGAGGCAUUUAAGACUAUUGUGAAGAAAACUGUUGACAAAGUAACUGGAGCUAUGAAGAGCCACCACAUACCGAAAUCUCAAGCAAAGAUAAAUCACUACAUCGAUUCUUCACAACGCAAACUUACAAAACUUGUGAUGGGAUAUGUCGAUAAGUAUGUCAAUGUGUAGAUAUGAAACUGAUGGAUUUCAAGGCCAUAUGUAUCAUCCCAGAGGUUGGGCUGAGCUCUGUACGAUUCAGAUGUUGAAAUGAUAUUGAGCAGAUAAUUCAACCCACCAACUGUUUGCUUUAGUCUAUGGAUGGGAGUGAAAAUUGAUUGAGGUUAGGGAAAGAAAGCAUCCCGUUACUGCAAGGACAGCAUUGAGGUUAAAUGUAGAUCGAGGAAAUCCAAAUUACUAGUGUCUUUGACAUCAGUACGUUCUCACCGUGCAUUUCGAAACAAAAUUUGCUUAACCAGUUUUUCACGUUGCAGCUCCAGUGUCACUACUCCCAUGCUUUCAUUUUCCCCGUGUUUAUAUUAAAUGCCUUUCAGGUAUUUGACUGAGUAACUUUGGAGGGCGAGGAAGCUGUGUGAUUCAUGUACUCUUGUCGUAGGACCGAGAAGAGGGUGUCUCGAUUAGCAGUCUCGGAGAAGUUGUUCGUAGAGACUACAGAGCCCGAUUACAUUUUAUCCUAUUCGGCUCGACGUUUUUGUGGAUUGAUGUAGAAAGCUUCACUUGAUCCUGAAAGUAGUACAACCUCCUCUGGAAGUUUUUGCUCCCCCAAAGUCGAUUCGUCUUUGUGAAGGUGUGUUGUCAAGGUUAUUGUGAUGAGAGACUGACGGUCUUGUUCCUCGUUGUGAGCACAUAUGUUCAAUAUAAUAUCGCCUGAUAACGCAUGUUUCUUUUGUUAA